AAGAAAAUUGCUGAAAUGCUCUUCCACACAUAAUGACGCCUACAACCACAAGUUUGUCGUUCACUUGAUUGAUAUCUCCUCUUUUCUUCAGUGUUCAGUGUUCACCGUAAGCUCAAACUGCAGUCCUCAAUCAUGACUCUAUUACCCGCCGUCGCCCUUGCCUCCGCUUCAUCGUCACCAUGGAUUCUCAGAACCUCUCCGCUCGAAAUUGCUACUUCUCCUGCAAAAGUUUCUAAACUCUAUUUUUCUCCCCUUUCUUCCUCCUCGUCUUGUCUCCGUGUAGUCUGUCGGGGAGAAUCGCAACCGGCCGACCUCAAAUUCGUGCUGCACCAUGCCUUGGAUUCCUCUGGAAUCGAUACCACUCAUGCCAGAGAAGCGAGGAAGGGAUUUUUGUCGCAGAUUGAGAAAUUAACGAUUAUAGAGAGGGAAACAAGUAUCAGCGUAAAUAGACGUGUGGAUUUGGGGAAAACGGCGCUUUACAUAGCAGCUGAGGAUGAUUCCCUAGUAUCUCACUCUUCGGUUCCGCUCCCUGUGGAUUCUUUCAUUGAUAGAUUGUAUGACCUUUCCAUGGCCUUCUGUUCUGAUUAUAGCUCGUCCCUCAGGUCUUCUCCCGAGAAAUUUCUUGAUAGUUUAGAGAAAUAUUUGUAUGUCAAGAAGGGUUUUAGAAGAAGUACUGGAGGGAAUCCAUUAGACACACGAGCUUUGUAUCUUCACUCGGUUUUGACACAUCGAUCAGGUUCAUCUGCUAUGCUUUCACUUAUAUACUCUGAAAUCCUGAAAGUGCUUCGCUUGUGGAGCCUUUUGGAUUUUGAUUGUGAGGUAUACUUCCCUCAUGAUCGUUAUGGCCUUCCCAAAGGAUAUCAUAAACAGAAAAGUGUGGAGUCUGAUCAGCCACACAUAAUGACAACACAAACUUUUUUGCAGGAGAUUUUGAGAAAUUUGAAGGAGACUUUCUGGCCAUUUCAAAAUGAUCCCACUAAGAGUUCAUUUUUGAGGGCAGCGGAUGCUGCCAACUGUAUUGAUAGAUCAAGCACUGCUGAACAAAGUGGAUUUCAGCUUGCUUCUGCAAAAGCUGCCCAACACAGGCUCGACCGUGGUGUGUGGACCAGUGUAGGCUUUGGGGAUAUGAGACGUGCUUUAUCUGCAUGUGAACGUCUAAUACUCCUAGAAUCUGAUCCAAAAGAACUAAGAGACUACAGCAUUCUUCUGUACCAUUGUGGGUUUUAUGAGCAAUCACUACAAUAUCUCAAGUUGUAUAUGGACAAAAAGAGUUCUUCAUUACAAAAGCAACCUACUGAUAAAUUUAGCAACAUGGAGGAAGAUGCUGUGGAGAAAUUGAUGACACGCCUCAACCUCAUUUCAAUGGAGGAUGGUUGGAGCAAGCCAUCACAUGUUAGAAAUUUUCUUGGCAAUAACUCUGAACCAUGGUAGAGCCUUGUGUCUCACACACAGAAAGAAAGCCUUAUGUUCUUAUCUCUCACACCACAUCUAGAUCUUGCUAGGAAAAGGUUGGCUUGUUAAACUCAAUUCUUCAUGUGUGCAAGGAAUGGAGAAUCUUAGAAAGGGUUUCAUGUCUCAUGACAUUAGCAGCAAGCAUGGAACAUCAGCCAGUAGGAGCUAGUAUCUCAAAUAAUAGCUCAAUAUCUGAAAUUUUUGGUGGGGGGAUUGGUUCGUUGGAUGGAGCUACUGUUUAUUAUUACUAUUAUUAUCCGUUUUUUCCCCUUGACUCUGACAGAAGUUAAAAAGUCGCCAUGCU
rnacentral:misc_RNA from 1 species